AAUCACCUCUUAAAGUGUUGAAGAGCAAAGAUGUCACCUUGAAGACUAAGGUGCGCCUGACUCAAUCCAUGGUAUUUUCAAUCGCAUGAUAUGCAUGUGAAAGCUGGACAAUGAAUAAGAAAGACCGAAGAAGAAUUGACGCCUUGGAAUUGUGGUGUUGAUGAAGAAUAUUGAAUAUCCCAUGGACUGCCAAAAGAAUGAACAAAUCUGUCUUGGAAGAAAUACAACCAGAAUGCUCCUUAGAAGCAAGGAUGGCGAGAGUUCGUCUUACAUAUUUUGGACAUGUUGUCAGGAGGGAUCAGUCCCUGGAGAAGGACAUCAUGCUUCAUACAGUACAGGGUCAGGGAAAAAGAGGAAGACCCUCAGCAAGAUGGAUUGACACAGAGGCUGCAACUGGGCUCAAGCAUAACAAUUGUGAGUAUGGCGCAAGGCUGGGCAGUGUUUUGUUCUGUGGUGCGUAGGGAGGCUAUGAGUUCAAACUGACUUGAUGGCACCUGAUAACAACAACAACAACAACAUGGUAACUGUAUGUAGACAAUUCUGAGGAACUGACGUAACUGUUUUUAAGAUAGAUUCUUGACUGUUAGUGUUUUGAAACAUUCCCAAUCAUCAUGUCAUUUCAUGAAAAUAUUUUAGUUUUCUAUCUCUAACAGAUUGACUUUUUCUUUCACAUAUCCACAAUGCCAUUUUCACACUAAAAAAAUUAGCAGUAAUCCUUAAUACCAUCUAGUACCCAGUCCAUAUUGAAAUUUUUGCAAUUGCCUAAAAUAUGUCUGUUUUUAAUUGGUUUGUUGAAAUGAGAAUUCAAGCGAGGUCCACAUGCAGAAUUUGGUUGCUGUCUUUUUUUUUUUUGUUUUUAAUAAUAUCUUUAUUGAGAAACAAAUCACAGAUCGCACAAUGUACUUAAAGUGUAUGACCCAAUGUUUUUUAAUAUAUCCACAGAGUUGUUCAGCUGUUACCAUCCAUCUUUUUCCAUUAUUAGGUUUAUCCUUCUCUCAGGCCCUUUGAUCCCCCUCCUAAUUUAGACCUUUGCUGUGGACAGGUGUUGAGUAGGAGAUAGCACAUUUCCCUCUUCUCCAAAAUAAAAAAGCAACAUAUUUCCAAAAUAGUCAAAGCCACUCCUUGUUGGCGUCAUUCCUCAAGGAGAGGAAAGCUUCUCUUUAAAACAGGAGAAUGUGCGUCUGUCCUGAUUUGCUCCCCUCGAAACUGAGCAAUGAGCAGAACCAUCCUUGGAAGCAGCGUCUUUCAUUGCAGUUCAUAAUCGAUGACAGCAGGGAGUGAUGAGAACCAUAGGGCGCUGCUGGGUUUACAGAUCACAUUGGCGAUUUUAUCUCCCCUCGUCCUCAGCCAACCUGUGGGUUGUAACUUCCCGCCAGUCAGGUCCCACAGGACUUGAGUGUCCAAGACCACAGGGCACUCGAGGGUGGACUGGAACUCAAAUCCAGCUCUCUUUCCCCCGGAGCAGACCUAUCACAUGGCACGCCUCUCAAAAUGGUGUGCAGCAUAGGUGUGUGUUCAAGAGAAUACUUGCAGAUCCAGUGAAAGGUUUAAUCACAGCUGAGGUUUACUUUCUCCAUAGAUUCAAAUAAUGAAUUUGUGUCAAGAUCAAAAAACCUAGAUGAAGAUUUGCCUAAAAUAUUUGAUAAAAUUCUGCUGCAAGUGUUUUCCAAAGUUCCACACGAUCCAGCAUAUGAUGAAACAAGAACAGCAGCCAGAUCAGCUACAAAGAGCAGCGCGAAUAAAAGCGAGUAUUCCUUUUAAACCUGUAUUUCUGAAGGUCUAUUUAUUUAUUGUAUUCGAUGCACAGCCCCAUCAUUUUGGUAUUCGGUCAACCAGCUACUUCUGGGGCAAAACCCAGUUGAGAUGUGAAAGAAAGAAUUGCCCCAAAUCCUCUCUAUACCCUUCCACCAACAGUGGAGUUCUCUGGUCUAAAGUGUACACAUUCCCGUAUUUGGGCUGACCCCCGACAUGCGUGUGUCAGGCAGUUGCUCACUUUCUGGAGGCUGUUCAGAGGACAGGAACCGCCUUCGCCAGUGGGGUUCACCAUUCCUGGCAACUCAAGCCCAGAGUAGCAGCAUGCAUUUCCACUCAGCACACUUGAUAGUUCCAUGAGCCUGAGUCACUGGCAGGGCUGGGGAAAGCCAAGCUUUCCUACAUCCCUCCUCAUCACCCGCCCCACUGGCAUCUGCACUGAGAAGCAGAGCAGACUUCUGUAUUUGCUCAAAUGCCAGAGCAGAGAGGAAGUAGCUGGCCCGUAUGCAAAACAUAUGCGUUAGCCCCCAAAUACACAGAAUAUCAAGGGAACUCUUUAAGGCGGACAAUAUGUGUAUUAGAAGGAUUGAAAAAGGAUAGCGAUUAGUUGGAGCCCUGGUGUCACAGUGGUUAAGAGCUCAGCUGCUAACCAAAAGGUUGGCAGUUUGAAUCCACCAGCUGCUCCUUGGAAGCUAUAAGGCAGCUCUGUCUUGUCUUAAUAGGGUCGCUAUGAGUCGGAAUCGACUCGAUGGCAACAGGUAGGGUAGAAUAGGUAGUGAGCCGUGUUGCAAUCAUGACUAUCAGCAGUAAACAAAUUUUAUAAGGAACUACCCUUAUCAAUGCAUUUUAUCAACCACACGAUUAAGAUACAACAUGAACAUGUCACUGCAUAAUCUUGGUGGCUUUGUCCCGCACAAUGUCUUAUUAUGCUCACUUGGCUGACACCACGACAAUGUUGUCAGCAAAGUGCAGUUCCAUUCAGUGUAUCUGUCCCUAAUGAUUCACCAACGUCUUGUUAACGGAGAACUCUACGUUUAUCAUUUAUUGGAUCAAAAUAGUCCUACUGGAGCUCGUUGGUCCUACUCCAUACAGGCUUUUCCUCCCAAUUCCUGCAGAGUUGAGACCUGCCAUGUGCUCGCCUUAGUCAGUUGCGGUGCAGAUUGUCCAUCAGUAAAGAAGGUGAAACCCAGCUUUGUCAGUGGUUUUCUGCAGGAACUUCAGAUUCUUGCAGACACUUCCUGUGACACUCAGGAUGGGGAGGUGCUGUGGCCGCACCAACAUCCUCAGUGGGGUAGGCUUCUCCUCCCUAGUCAGCCUGUCCACUCCCCUGAGGCGAGAAAACGGGCUGGCCUUGACAUUCAUCAAGAAAGUGCACCGAGACACUAAGACAUAGCAGUCUUUGAGAAAAGCCUGAGAGUAUAGCUAGAAACCUCCCCAGGUUGCUACAGUCAUUUACACGUUAUUCCUAUCCAGGAGGAGCCGCAUGAGGUGGCACUUCAGCCUUGAAGUGAAUCCAUGAGAUCCUGUGGUAGAUUGUUGGCCCCUUCCCUUCCCCUUUGCACCUUCGUGUUUUCAUCAGUAAAUGACAAAGUCAGAAAUGCCUUUACUUUACAAAUAGACCAAGUAGGAACAGCCUCAGGCCCUCUGAGCCCCGUCCCAGUAUAAACCCCUAGUAUGGGUUAGUGCAGCUCUUCUCCAAAAUGAGUAAGCAACAAAUUUCCAAAAUGGUCAAAGCCACUCCUUGUUGGCUUCAUUCCUCAAGGAGAGGAAAGCUUCUCUUUAAAACAGGAGAAUGUGCAUCUGUCCUGAUUUGCUCCCCCUUGAAACUGAGCAAUGAGCAGAACCAUCCUUGGAAGCAGCGUCUUUCAUUGCAGUUCAUAAUCGAUGACAGCAGGGAGUGAUGAGAACCGUAGGGCGCUGCUGGGUUUACAGAUCACGUUGGCGAUUUUAUCUCCCGUCAUCCUCAGCCAGCCUGUGGGUUGCAACUUCUCACCAGUCAGUCCCCAGAUGAGAAACCCAAGUCCCACAGGACUUGAGUGUCCAAGACCACAGGGCAUUCAAGGGUGGACUGGAACUCAAAUCCAGCGCUCUUUACCCCAGAGCAGACCUAUCACAUGGCACGCCUCUCAAAAUGCUGUGCAAAAUAGGUGUGUGUUUAAGAGAAUAUUUGCAGAUUCAAUGAAAGAUCUAAUCACAGCUGAGGUUUAUCUUCCCACAGGUUAUUCCCAACAAAGGAGCUCGAACAAUAAUGAAUUUGAAUCAAGUUCAAAUAACCCAGGCAAACAUUUGGCUAAAAUAUUUGAUGAAAUUCUGCUGCAAGAGUUUUCCAAAAUUCCCCAUGACCCGGGAUUUGGUGAAACAAGAGAAGCAGCAGCCAAAUCAACUACAAAUGGAAACAUGGAUGAAAGCAAGUACUGUUUUUAAACCUAAUUGUGCACAUGUUUCUGAAGGCCUUUUUAUUGUAUUCAAUGCAC